rnacentral:rRNA from 1 species
UACGUAGGGGGCUAGCGUUGUCCGGAAUCAUUGGGGCGUAAAGAGCGUGUAGGCGGCCCGGUAAGUCCGCUGUAAAAGUCAAAGGCUCAACCCUUUGAAUGUCAGUGGAUACUGCCGGGCUAGAGUCCGGAAGAGGCGAGUGGAACUCCUGGUGUAGCGGUGGAAUGCGCAGAUAUCAGGAAGAACACCAACGGCGAAGGCAGCUCGCUAGGACGGUACUGACGCUGAGACGCGAAAGCGUGGGGAGCGAACAGG